UGUACCCUACUCUACGUGCACAGUUAUCAGCAGUUAGUUCGAGACGCUUGCGGACGUCAGUACAAAGUAAAUUCGGCGCAGUAGACGAGCUACACAUACAUAUAAAUAAUUGAUUACAUAAAUUUUUCAGCUGUUCAACCGUUUUCCAUCAUUUUCGACAUUUUCGAUUUUCGUGCGACGUUAAGUGACGCAGUAACGUUUGAACUUCUGUCGCUUGCUGUUCAGCAGUCGUCGCUGUCGUUCUUAUCGCUGACGUCGACGUGUUCGUGUUGUCAAUUUUCCAUAAAAAUAUUUUACUUAGCCACUACAUUUUUUCCAUGUGUGUGUGCAAAUAUUUCGCAUGAACUUGCGAGUGUUUAUGAUAAAAUAUGAAUUAAUGUUUGAAACGUGCUACUGUUAUUGUAGUUAUUGCAAUUUUUGCGUAGAGAUUUAAAACAAAAACGUAAACACAUAUAAAUAACAGCACAAACACUCAAAAGAAUAUUGCGAGUCCACAUUAAAACUACUAAAAGAAUUCUUACUGAAAUUUUUAAACAGUUGUACAUGUGCACUUGCGUACAUACACAUAGAAUGGUAUAUGGCGAAAACGUUAAAAAAUGCAGUAAUCUAAAUCGUGUAAAUUUUUUUUUGUGGUGUCAUUACCGUUUGAAAUUGUAAUGUGCAAAGCUUUUGUGCAAAAGUAAAUAAUAAUAAAAAAAAGAUAAUAAACAAAAAUAUGUGUCAAUGAUUGUGAAAAAAUAUUUCUUUUGCGUCAUUAUAUUAAAUAUCGAAAAAAAAUUAAAUAAAAAAUUGUUAACAAUUAAAUGUUGCCACCAAAAUUGCUGCUAAAUGUGUUAGUAGUGCAAAUUGUGCACAGAAAUUGUAAACUGCAAAAAUUGCAAAACAAUUAACAAUUGCUGUUUUACAACAAAAAUUUAUAUUUUCGUGACUAAACAAUUAUAAAAACAACACUUCCUCUUUAAACAAUGUUCGUUGCCGACCGUAAUUUUGUAUUUCUAAAGUGUCUUAAAUUAAUUAUUUAACAUACAUACACAACCGCAAACAAUCCAGCAAUACACAUACUCAUACAUCUAGUCACAUCAUAACUCUUUUAAAAGGAGCAAAACUGAGUAAAUCAUUUGCUUACAUACAUACAUAUACACACCAUAUAACGCUAGUGCAAACUGUAAAGAAUUUCAGAAGAUAUAAGACAUAUGUUUAUUGCUUUUAGAACCGAUAAGGAAACUAUACAUACUUACUUAUAUAUAUGAAAUAGUAAAAUUAGUGAACACAUAAAAAUUUAAUGAUAAAAAGCUUCUUGAAAGUUAAAUAACAUAAAUACAAGCGUGUACAUAUUGAUAGACAAACGCUUAUACAGAUAUAUAUACUCGUAUAUAUAUUUAUAAUACAUACUGUCAGGGAAUAUUAAUUGUAUAUAAAUAAAUAGUUGAGAUCUGUUAGUCUGCUCUAAAUGUGCCUAACCUCGAUAUUUGCAAGUCAUGUUGGAUCCAUCUAUACCCAAAUUGCUACUUACCAACACCCCUAGAUGUGUUAUGUGAUUUACUUGUAUGUACAUAUGUAUGUGAAUUGCGGAUUGGAAAUGCCUGCAUGCAGCCGUAUCGGUGCUAGAAGCCUCAGCUGUCAAAAAAAUGUGCGUCUUCUCAAAGCCUAGUAUCUUUACUAUACUUAUGCUUAUAUCUUUCCAUCUAUUUUAUAUAAUUCCAUGUU